rnacentral:rRNA from 1 species
AGUGGCGGACGGGUGAGUAACACGUGGGUAACCUGCCCAGAAGUGGGGGAUAACAUUUGGAAACAAGUGCUAAUACCGCAUAACAACUUAGAUCACAUGAUCUUUGUUUAAAAGAUGGUUUUGCUAUCUCUUCUGGAUGGACCCGCGGCGUAUUAGCUAGUUGGUGAGGUAAUAGCUCACCAAGGCGAUGAUACGUAGCCGACCUGAGAGGGUAAUCGGCCACAUUGGGACUGAGACACGGCCCAAACUCCUACGGGAGGCAGCAGUAGGGAAUCUUCCACAAUGGACGAAAGUCUGAUGGAGCAAUGCCGCGUGAGUGAAGAAGGUUUUCGGAUCGUAAAACUCUGUUGUUGAAAAAAAACAUACGUGAGAGUAACUGUUCACGUACUGACGGUAUUCAACCAGAAAGCCACGGCUAACUACGUGCCAGCAGCCGCGGUAAUACGUAGGUGGCAAGCGUUGUCCGGAUUUAUUGGGCGUAAAGAGAAUGUAGGCGGUUUAUUAAGUUUGAAGUGAAAGCCCUCGGCUCAACCGAGGAAGUGCUUCAAAAACUGGUAAACUUGAGUGCAGAAGAGGAAAGUGGAACUCCAUGUGUAGCGGUGGAAUGCGUANAUAUAUGGAAGAACACCAGUGGCGAAGGCGGCUUUCUGGUCUGUAACUGACGCUGAGAUUCGAAAGCAUGGGUAGCAAACAGGAUUAGAUACCCUGGUAGUCCAUGCCGUAAACGAUGAGUGCUAAGUGUUGGAGGGUUUCCGCCCUUCAGUGCUGCAGCUAACGCAUUAAGCACUCCGCCUGGGGAGUACGAUCGCAAGAUUGAAACUCAAAGGAAUUGACGGGGGCCCGCACAAGCGGUGGAGCAUGUGGUUUAAUUCGAAGCAACGCGAAG